GUCUCCGUGGCGCAAUUGGUUAGCGCGUCUGACUGUUACCGGGGUCCUCCAGUGUGACAUUAUCAGGAGGUUGGCAGUUCAAGCCUGCCCGGGGACG